GACCAAUUUUCCAGAAAAUUCCUUAAUAUUUAACACGUUCCGCUUUCAAGGGCCCCCCUCUCCGCAAUUUGGACCCCUUUUUUACCUUUCUUUGGGGGGGGGGGGGUGAUACACCCCACCCCUCCUACACCCACCCCCCAGGUGGCACGGCCCUGUUUUCGGCGUGUUUAAGCGAACAUUUCCAACAACGAGCAAGUAUUCAUCAGUAUCCCACUAGACAGACCAAUGAACUCAUUAUUUCAAAAUUAAAACAAACAUGAUCAGAAAAC